rnacentral:lncRNA from 1 species
AUCAUCAUGUAAACGAGUAAUGAAAGAAAUGGAAGUCGACUAGGCUAGCUGUUUACUAAACUUUAAAAGAGAAUAUACAUCAAGAUUAAGCUCCAGUAAGAAAUCGAAUAGGACGUCGAAAAGGACGAAACAGAAAGCUGAGAAUUUGCAAGAAUUAUAGAUAGGAUGGCUAAAAAAGUAAACUAUUACAUGAUUACACACAAGGGCAUUUCCUUAUCAACCAUAUACUGACACUUCCCAUCGCGUGAACCCUUACCAGACUGCACUUGUUUAAAGGAAGAAAUGAGCAAAGGAUCCACCAUGGAUCGGCAUGAAUGGAUGUUCCCUUUCUCAGUGGUCUAAGGAAACAAGACUGAAAGCAGGCUUGCAGAAAUAACAGCAGAUCAAAAUCUGGUGUGGCACGAUGACAAGUAAAGGUAAAAGCAAAGAAGUCAAGCACCGUCAUAAUCCGUCAAGUGCAGCACAACAAUGAAAAAUGCAGACUGUAUUCUUUAAAGCAAAAACACUGAUUUAUUUCUCGUCCAAUCUUCAGCGAAUUUGGUAUAGAUAUGUGUUCAACAAACCCUGUUAGCUUAAUAAGUGAAGAAGUUAUGUAUUUUAUGACAAUAAUAGUUUAGUCAAUAAGCGAAGCGAACAUUUGCAGCGCUGUUCUACAACAGUACAAAAAGACCAUGCCAGGACGUGUUACUGGCUGUAUCAGCACAAGAAGUGGCAUAAACAUUAUUGCUUCACUAUUAAUUUUGUUAGGUUUAUAACACACCAGAGCACAAAGCGUUCCGUGUGGGCUAUUGUGGUUUCGCUGUGUCCGUCAGCAAACAAUUGAAACGUUAACACUAUAGUAAUCACAAUGUUAAUUUAAUUGUUCAUAAUGUUACCCUUAAGGUAGUUCUGCACAUUUGAAAAACCGGAAGUGGUGAUGUAACGUCAUUUAUCCGGAAAACGUAGAAUAAAGCCUUGAUUCGGCGUACGGAAACGAAAAUCAUUUCAUAAACUAAUAGCAACCCGUGAGUAAAAUAUGGGGGGAAGGGGUGUUUGAUCAUCUCUCUUAAUUACUUACGGACAUUUUCCUUUACUGACCGCGAUACACGGAACACAAUUUUGACAUUACCGAUCUAAGAAAUAUGAUCUUUUUUUUUUAUUUCUGUUCAUUAAAUAUUUCAUUUUUCUGUCUCAUUCCCGUUGAAUUUGCAGUCAGCGUCCAUAAUCGCCGAAGGUUUGUCUAUCAACAUUUACUGACGUAAUAUAAUCGUGUCACCGAUUAUGUACUAUAUCUCGCACUUGUGUAGAAUUCAAUGAAAUCCCUGAAGACCGAUUGAUAUUUCCUUUUUUCCGCCUUUCAUUCACACUCGUAUAUUCUGACUGGCACGUUACGUUGUUAUGCCACCAGUUAAGGAUGUUUCGCAUACGCCGGGAAAAGAAAUAGAAUGUGAAAUCGAGGCAGCCCGAAACGAAAACAUUCGUGAAUUGAGUAAAAAUUAUUUGCAUGAAGAUCAGUCGAAUUUUUCCAUGCUCGCACAAAUACACAAAAAACUGGCGUUCACAUUCCACGUAAAAUCGUAUGUUAAUAAAUCAAUGGUAUCGAUUUCAUUAUCCGAUGCCGACGUAAAUAACAUAUCGUCAUUAUCCAUAUUAAGGACAUAUCUGACUCAGGUAUUUCAAUAUAUUUAUGAAGCACUAGCCGAUUCGGAAACCUUUUUACAAUGAAUUGUGUAAGUCGCUAAGAAAACCAACAUCAUAAUAUUCUCGACUAUGGGAAGUCACUAAUGUCGCACACAAUCAUAUUUACUGCAAACGUUUUCUUUACUGUUAUAUGUGACCUAACAUGUAAUUAAACUAUACUGAGUACAUCUAUAAACUUGGUCAACAGUCGUUAUGUUUGACAAGAAACCUGCACUGGUUUUGGAUGAUGGUCCGGUUUAUACACAAAUUUACAAUACUACUAUACAAAAUUCAAAUAUACAUGUAUACGGAAAGUAUGAAAAAAUCGGUAAAAACAUUGCGUUUUUAGAUGUACUGAGUAUAUUUAAAUUGUUGCACACGCGGUUUAUCUAUUUUUCUGUCGAAUUGUUCAGUUUAUUCGCUUACGUAUCAAUCCAACGUUAAACUGUAAAAAAUCGUGAACGUCAAUUUCUUUAAAAUAUACUUGCAUGAUUUAUGUUGAGCAUAAUAAAAAACAAAAGCCACGUGUUCCGAUUUGAUUUGCAAGGAACUUGUCUUCUAUUAGUUUCCAGUCAUAUUCUGUCCCCAAAUUAAUGCAAAUGAUAGACAGACCUAUCAUAAAUAAGUGCAUUCUUGCAGUUUAAAGAAUUAAUGACAAAGCCAGCAUCGUAAAAUGAAAACAUUUUUUAAAAAGACUUAUUUAACGUGGAAGUAAAAUAAAUGUGACUUGCGUAAUAUGACACAUAUCUUUUCCUAAACAUUACCAUUCUUAAUUUUUUCCAUUAUACGUUAAACAGUAUGUGGACAAAAAGAUCACAAGAUGUUACUUUCGCGUUUAGCCAUUUAAAGGCACUGACCCCCAGAUUUUCGCUAAAAGUUUGGUCAUAUUUUGGACAAUAGAACAUGAGAUUUUGUUUCUAAUCUGUCUUAAAAUGCCAAAUCAAGAGCGAGAGAGAAAAAAAAGACAUGCUCGAGUUGGGAAUCAAACACAGGCCGCCGCGGCAAUAAAAAUUUCCUGCGGUCCUGACCAAUACACCACUGAGGAAUAUGCGCGCAACGGUCGUUUAAUAAAUAUAAAGGCAGUUUACCUACACUAUACCAGUACUUUGAAUGGAAAAAAUCGCAAAAACAACUAAUUCUUAGGUGUUUCUAUAACAUAAUCUGUCAGUAACUAAGUUUUAAAACCUUAAGAAAUACAACAAUAGUUUUUUUGAUAUCUUUUUUUUUUUUUUUUGUCGUACGAUCUGGAGGACAGUGUCUGUAAAACAAGUUUACCAAAACAUGUACUGCGUGAAAUCAUUAUUCUAAAAACGGUUGACAAAUAUUCCAUAUAUCAUGUCCAAAGAAAUGACAAGUCUUGUCGGCGUGGGGCAUGAUACGUGUAUGUUUUAUGACUCAACAUGAUAUUUCAGUAGAAACUACUGGAUCGAUAUAUACAUUUUCGUACAUUGUUCGGAAGAUUUUCCUAAUGUUUGAUUGAACACACCUGCAGAUGUGAACGUUAAGAUGGAAACGUAAAUAAUAAAAGAUGAAUAUAUGCGUAAAAAUCAGGUCUUCUUGAUAACCAGAAGCAGACGUUUCUUCUUUGUAUUUAGGCGGGAAAACUGCACGUGCCUUCCCGGAUGCUCCUUCGGUAAUGACCGCGCGAAAAUUACGUAUUGGCGGUAUAUUUUCGCGUCACAAGAAACAUUACUGUGUUAAAACGUUCAUUUAAUUGUAAACGAAAUGCUCUACAACCUAAUGAAAAUGCAUGCUUAAGAGUUUUAAUUUAUAUCGUGUCUGUACGUCCGUGACAGGCUCAUAUAAUAUUUUGCAUUCGAGUUCUUAAUAUUAUAUUUAUGAGUUCAACUUUCAAAAAGAAAGGAUGUUUACCUUUAUACACUAACAGGCAUGUAAUUACGAUUGUUUCACCGGUAAACGAACAUGUUUUACGAGUGAGGUUAUAAUAAAUCAGGUGGGUGGGGUAUAAACAUUUUUCUAUUCUAAUGGCGAUGUUUCGAAGCGGAAUGAAGCAUUUUGGUGACUCUUCAACGUUUUUGAGAUAUAGAAAGGGAAAACGGUAAAUACUACCGCCAUCGGUUAUAACAAUAGACCUCUCCAUGUUUCGAUUUUUGUACAUUUAAUAAUUAUAGGUGGUGGGAGUUAGUGGAAAAUUCAUAAUUAUUUAUGGGUAGUGGAGGAAAAUAAAAAAAAUAUGGGUGGUAGGGUUUUUCAAAAAGUGCCUUCCGACCCCCAUAUAAUUUAUUCUGGAACUGCCCUUAGAAAAUAGAAAGAUCUUGUGUCCACUCAAAAAGGCAUCAUUUUCAAUCGGAUCUUCAUGAGACUUUAUGAUAAUGUUUGUCUGACUUAAGGAUGUACGAGCUUUUUUAAGGGUAUCCGCCAUUUUGAAGAAAUGUUUCGUCGAAUAUUGCUUUCUAACAGAAGUUUUGCCAAAAAUUAAUGCUAAAUAAUUAAAAUAUGGUUAA